rnacentral:rRNA from 1 species
ACGGGAGGCAGCAGUGGGGAAUAUUGCACAAUGGGCGCAAGCCUGAUGCAGCGAUGCCGCGUGAGGGAAGAAGGUUUUCGGAUUGUAAACCUCUAUCCUCAGGGACGAUAAUGACGGUACCUGAGGAGGAAGCUCCGGCUAACUACGUGCCAGCAGCCGCGGUAAUACGUAGGGAGCGAGCGUUGUCCGGAAUUACUGGGUGUAAAGGGUGCGUAGGCGGGGCGGCAAGUCAGAUGUGAAAUGUAUGGGCUCAACCCAUGAACUGCAUUUGAAACUGUUGCUCUUGAGUGAGGUAGAGGUAAGCGGAAUUCCUAGUGUAGCGGUGAAAUGCGUAGAUAUUAGGAGGAACACCAGUGGCGAAGGCGAUCUACUGGACGAUAACUGACGCUGAGGCGCGAAAGCGUGGGGAGCAAACAGGAUUAGAUACCCUGGUA